AACGCUAGCGGGAGGCCUAACACAUGCAAGCCGAGCGGUAUUUAUUCUUCGGAAUAGAGAGAGCGGCGUACGGGUGCGGAACACGUGUGCAACCUGCCUUUAUCAGGGGGAUAGCCUUUCGAAAGGAAGAUUAAUACCCCAUAAUAUAAUUGAUGGCAUCAUUGAUUAUUGAAAACUCCGGUGGAUAGAGAUGGGCACGCGCAAGAUUAGAUAGUUGGUAGGGUAACGGCCUACCAAGUCAGUGAUCUUUAGGGGGCCUGAGAGGGUGAUCCCCCACACUGGUACUGAGACACGGACCAGACUCCUACGGGAGGCAGCAGUGAGGAAUAUUGGACAAUGGGUGAGAGCCUGAUCCAGCCAUCCCGCGUGAAGGACGACGGCCCUAUGGGUUGUAAACUUCUUUUGUAUAGGGAUAAACCUAGAUACGUGUAUCUAGCUGAAGGUACUAUACGAAUAAGCACCGGCUAACUCCGUGCCAGCAGCCGCGGUAAUACGGAGGGUGCAAGCGUUAUCCGGAUUUAUUGGGUUUAAAGGGUCCGUAGGCGGAUCUGUAAGUCAGUGGUGAAAUCUCAUAGCUUAACUAUGAAACUGCCAUUGAUACUGCAGGUCUUGAGUAAGGUAGAAGUAGCUGGAAUAAGUAGUGUAGCGGUGAAAUGCAUAGAUAUUACUUAGAACACCAAUUGCGAAGGCAGGUUACUAUGUCUUAACUGACGCUGAUGGACGAAAGCGUGGGGAGCGAACAGGAUUAGAUACCCUGGUAGUCCACGCCGUAAACGAUGCUAACUCGUUUUUGGGUUUUCGGAUUCAGAGACUAAGCGAAAGUGAUAAGUUAGCCACCUGGGGAGUACGUUCGCAAGAAUGAAACUCAAAGGAAUUGACGGGGGCCCGCACAAGC
rnacentral:rRNA from 1 species